GUAAUUGCUCUUGACUGGCUGAAACUUCUGUCACUCCAUUGAUCACCAGCGUUGAUUCGGCUGAUCUAGCUGGCUAGGAUGGGUGUCCCCUUCGUCCCUCACUGCUCCAUGUCCAUCCUUCCUGAAACUGUGCACUCGUUUGACCUUCCUGAUGGAAGGAGGACCAAGGGUAUAUGAGUAGCUGUGCUCCCCUUCAAACAAGUUCUUCUUUCUCUUUCAAUGGGAAGAAGCAUCCACAAACUGAGAAAUGACAUAACCAUUGAAUCAUUUUGUAUUG
rnacentral:snRNA from 1 species